CUAACCAGCAGUUACAGCAGGCCAUGA
rnacentral:piRNA from 1 species